rnacentral:tRNA from 1 species
GGUGGCUCAGUGAUAGAGCACUUGUCUUGCAUGCAUGAGGCCCUGGGUUCGAUUCCUCAGCACCA